UUCUUUUAUAUAUAGUACUCACUUUAUUUUAUUUUUAAGUUCUCAUAUACAGAUUACUUAAUUUACAUUUUUUUAGAUAAAAAUAUUAUUUGGCUAGCCAUUAAUCGGUUCAUUAAGUCUUUUCCGGACAUAAUUGAAAAUUUUCUAGUAAAUUUCUAUCAAAAAGUGGGAAAGAAACAUUGAUCAAAUCAGUGGCUUUGGCACUCCCAACCUAUGUUAUGUGAAAGGACCCGAACCCGCUACACGGAGCUGGUCAACGUGUUGACUUCUUGGCCCGGCCCAAAUCAUCUUUAAAUGCAAACCCGCCAAUUAACAACGGAAAACGAACUCUUGACUUAACCAACCUGCAAAAGAAAGAGGGGUGAGCGAUUGAAAAUCACUUAGUGAGGACAAGCCUCAGUGCUCAUGAAGUCUUCAUACACAAACACGCUUAGACAAUCACAAAGUCUAAACCUAAGAUAAGCAGGCAAUCACGUGUCAAAGACACACACACAUCAAACAAAUGAGACUACGUCCCAUAACCACUACCAUAAAGGCAGGCAGGAUACGAACGUAUAACACACGCCGUCUACCCGUACAUAUUGGAUUCCUCGUGCCUGAGCACUUCUUCCGUGCAACCGGAUCCCUCGUGCCUCUUGCACUUCUUCCGUGCACCUCAUACUCGUCGGCUCGUCAGCCAUCCUGAUCUAUUCGGAAACGCGUCCAUAGACCAUCACACAACUACAAGGAUCUCUCCUGUAGGACUUUCUUUGCGGCUCACCACAUCUUCGUGCCAUUAGCACAUUCUCUCAUCACACAACAUUUAUUAAUUACCACACAAACAUGCAUUUCACAAAUCACACAACCCGCAUUAAAAUAUUUAUUUUCAUUUAUUUUCAUUUCUAAAAUACUAGUUCAUUUUAUAAAUAGGUAUAUAUCUACAUAUAAAUACGUAUAAAUAUAAUAUACAAUCACCAUCCAAAUAUAUGUUAGUUAUAAUGUAACAUAUAUGUAUGCUCAGCUUAACAUUAAACUAAGUAACUACAUAAACAUAUCAGUAUAUGAAAAAAACACCAACUAGUCCUCACUCUGCCAAUCGGGUUGAUUCUUCGGUUUAGCACUAGAAACAACGGGGACCGGUUCAAUAAUACUUCUCAGUCUACAACGGUUUACAUAACCGAUCGAAGAUUAUUUUCCAAUUAAUAAUCCAUGAUUCAAUCUAAUAACCAAAACUUGAUUUAAUUGUUUUUGGUAUUUUCCUCCAAUUAAAUUAGUUAGACUUUGUUUAAUAAUUAAACAAAACAAAAAUCUAAUAAUUUAAUAACACCACAAUUCAAUAAUCCAAGGUAACAUAAUUAAGUUUGGCUUAAUACCAAAACCCAACCGAGACUAAUCGUCACGAAGCCACCACUGUUACACGUGACCAACAAACCAAAGUCAUCUCACGCUUCCUCAAUAAUUAAGUUCGGUUAUGGUCUUUAAUCAAAUAAGAAUUCCUUGGUUUAGACUGGUUUAGAACUGGUUCAAAAUCCAAAACAAAACAACAUGAGCAACACGAGUUAUAAACCUUCGCCGUUUACCUGUUUCUGCAACUUUCAUGGACGGAUCUGCUCGACGUCGACACGACGGUUCAACCUUACAGCGAUUUGUCCUCACGGCUCAAAGAUCAAAAGCAAAACAAGAGAAUAGAUUAUAAGCUAACAUCAGAAACUUCUUCUGAAAGUUAUAGGAUAAGUUUAGGGUUUCCUUACCCUUAGAGGCAUUAACGGCUACGACUGCUCCAGUGACAGCGGCUGGCAUCUCCGGUGACACACGGUGGCUGUGGUGGUCCUCCUCUCCCAUCCUCUAGCAUUUCUAUGUCUUUGCCGUUUCUCUCUUACCAAUGGCUAGAGCCAAUCGAGCACCAACGGCGGGUUCAAACUUGGAACGAUGGCAACAACGGCUUGAUCUCAUGAAUGUCACAACGGAGACCAUCUCGGCGACGACGCAACAACUAUGAUUUGAAGUUACGAAGGCUUAGGAUUUUAGAUCGUAACUUCGACCGCUUUACAAAACGACCAUUAAUCCGACAUCUUAUAGAAUGAACUGGGCUUUCCGAAGUUUCCGUAAUAGAGUUAGUUUCGAUUGGUUCCAACUGAGCUUCUUCCCACAA
rnacentral:lncRNA from 1 species